GACGAACGCUGGCGGCGUGCUUAACACAUGCAAGUCGAACGGAAAGGCCCUGCUUUUGUGGGGUGCUCGAGUGGCGAACGGGUGAGUAACACGUGAGUAACCUGCCCUUGACUUUGGGAUAACUUCAGGAAACUGGGGCUAAUACCGGAUAGGAGCUCCUGCUGCAUGGUGGGGGUUGGAAAGUUUCGGCGGUUGGGGAUGGACUCGCGGCUUAUCAGCUUGUUGGUGGGGUAGUGGCUUACCAAGGCUUUGACGGGUAGCCGGCCUGAGAGGGUGACCGGCCACAUUGGGACUGAGAUACGGCCCAGACUCCUACGGGAGGCAGAAGUGGGGAAUAUUGCACAAUGGGCGGAAGCCUGAUGCAGCAACGCCGCGUGCGGGAUGACGGCCUUUGGGUUGUAAACCGCUUUCGCCUGUGACGAAGCGUGAGUGACGGUAAUGGGUAAAGAAGCACCGGCUAACUACGUG
rnacentral:rRNA from 1 species